rnacentral:SRP_RNA from 1 species
CGCGGGAGCGGUGCGGACGGGCCGGUCGCCAAUCCGGUCAGGUCCGGAAGGAAGCAGCCGUAACGAUUUUGGUCCGGGUCGCGCCGUCUCCCACCUUC